rnacentral:rRNA from 1 species
GAUGAACGCUGGCGGCGUGCCUAAUACAUGCAAGUCGAGCGAACAGAUGAGGAGCUUGCUCCUCUGACGUUAGCGGCGGACGGGUGAGUAACACGUGGAUAACCUACCUAUAAGACUGGGAUAACUUCGGGAAACCGGAGCUAAUACCGGAUAAUAUAUUGAACCGCAUGGUUCAAUAGUGAAAGACGGUUUUGCUGUCACUUAUAGAUGGAUCCGCGCGGCAUUAGCUAGUUGGUAAGGUAACGGCUUACCAAGGCAACGAUGCGUAGCCGACCUGAGAGGGUGAUCGCCCACACUGGAACGGAGACACGGUCCAGACUCCUAGGGAAGGCAGCAGUAGGGAAUCUUCCGCAAUGGGCGAAAGCCUGACGGAGCAACGCCGCGUGAGUGAUGAAGGUCUUCGGAUCGUAAAACUCUGUUAUUAGGGAAAAACAAAUGUGUAAGUAACGAUGCACGUCUUGACGGUACCUAAUCAGAAAGCCACGGCAAACUACGU